CACUAGGGCUCACCAAAACGCGAUGGGUCGACAAAACUAGAUCUCGAUAGAGCUAGGACUCGCUAGCGUGAAGGCUCGACAGUGCCAGGACUGGACUGCGAGAGGACUGGACUGCAAGAAGGUUCGACUGCGAGAGAACUGGACGGCGAGAGGCCUUCACGGUGCGAGGGCUCCAGGAUGAUGGAAAUGGAUUUGAAAAAAUAUGAAUGAAAUGGGAAGGUGUCAGGGUGGGUAAGUUCACCAAAUGGGGAAAAGUGAAAAAUUACAAAGAAAUUAGAAAUAAAGGAGUAUAUGUAAAACAGAGGAAUACCAAAAUAAAAAAUAAGAGGGAAAUAAAACAUUAGAUGUAAAGAAAAACUAAUAAUUUAUUAUAAAAAUGACAUUUUAAAAUAUAAUAUAUUUUUAUUAAUAGUGUGAAAGUUAAAAUAAUGAAAGUUAAAAAUGUCAUAUUAUACAUGUAAAUUAUGGUAAUUAAUAAAUUGUCAUAUUAUAUUAUAAAUUUCGACAUGGUUUAAGAAUGUUUUAAUAAAAAUGCAACCAAUGUUUUUAUAGUGUUUUAACACCAAUUUUUCACACCAUUAUUAUGAUAUAUUUAACACUAAUUUUUCACACCGUUAUUAUGAUAUAUUUAACACUAAUUUUUCACACUAUUAUUAUGAUAUAGACUCUUCAUCUUCUAUAAUCAAACUAAAUCACAACUAUAUAUGAUAUAGACUCUUCAUCUCCUGCAGUCUAGUCUUAUUUGUUCAUGCCAUAUUAAUAAUCAUUACAAAGAAAAACAAACAAAAAAAAUAAGCUCAUAAUAACUUUGAGAAAUCUUAUCAUAAAUUAAAUAAAACCAAAUAAGGAUCCAACAAUCACCAUUACUAAUUGAGAAAUGAUGGACAAAUUGCAGGAACAUUACUUAAAAUAAGCACAGGCACCCAAAAAACCGUUAACCUAAAUCUCCAACACCUUUUCCAACCCAGUUCAAGAAUUAUCAAGGUAAUACAAAUUAGAGUGAGGGUCCUAGAUCUAUUUUGCCUUUAUUCCUAGAACACUAGGUGCAGCUAGCAUCAACCCAAAAAUUUAAGAAUAAUAGUAAGCAUCAAUUCAAACAACAAGAGGACCUUCACAUAGUAAAACAUAAAUAAAUAGGGAGAAUAUUAUUAUUAGGCAUAAAAAUUGGUGGGGGCGAAGAGAACACAAAUCGCACUAUAAAAAAUGAGAAAAUCAAUGAUAUGAGAAUCAGAAUUAGACACUUACAGUGACCACAAGACGCGAUUAGGGUUUCUUAGUAAGAGAAAGUGGGUGUCAAACGGUGUGGCUUUGCUUGAACACGGAACGAUUAGAGUUCUCUGGCAAUGUAUGCAAAACAAAACAGAGGCGAGAAUUGAGUGAGC
rnacentral:lncRNA from 1 species